GCGUCAUCCACAGAUCUAGAACUUCUUAUAACAAAAGUUUUUCUUUCUCUUGUUAAAUUCUCUGCACACGAUUCACGUUCUAGAUUUCAAUUCCUAAAUUCCAAAUUUUUCAAUUUUUAUUUUGUUUGUAUUGAAUUUGCCUCACUACACCUUUAGCUUGUUUUCUAAUACAUUCCAUGAAAAUCAAAGCUAGUCAUAGAGGCACAAAUUGAAUCAUUGGCGGUUUUCACGUGGUGCUUUAACUUUUCAAUGUUUAUGCCUCUAAAAAAUUUCGCCACAUUCUAUAAUUCUGAUUUUGAUUUUUUGGUUGAAAUUUUUAAACCCUAAUUUUGGCUAUGAUUACAUAUUAUCCGCGCUUCUGAGUUUUCUGUAUGAAGUAUAUCGGAAUAAAUGGUUGAAUUUCUUAAUAUGAGCCAAUUUUUAAUUUUAAUUUAUCAAUUUUUGUUCUGUUUCUAUUGUUUCUAUUGGCUGUGAUGAGAAUUUUUUCAGCUUUAUGCCAGUUCUGCUUCUGAAAAUUCUUGAUUGAGAGAGCUGUAAUAUACUCUGAGCUUUUUUACAUUCAUAACUUGAUCAAUUUUUACAAUUAUUCUAUUGUUUGUGUUUUAUGUAUUUUUGUUAAAUAUGUUCAUUUGAUGCAUCAAUUUGGCUUAUGAUUAUAUAAUCCAAGUUGUUUAAGGUGUUUUGGAGCCAAGCUCCUGUUUACAGGAGGAACCUACUUGGUGAAGGAACAUUCAUAUGACAUUAAAGGAUUUUAAUGAGGCUAUUGCUUCAUCUCUUGUAUCCCACGAGUCCGGAGUUAAAUAACAGCACAACAUUCAUUUAGAAUAUGUAUGAAAUUUUAAUUUUUGAUUAAUUAUUUGUAGUCUUAUGUUUGAUUUCUUUGUUUAUACUUAAUGAUGUUGUGUAAGAGGUUGGUUGUGAUGAUUAUAAAAAUUCCUCGUACUGAAUGCCAUUGGCAUGACAGACACUUUACACCCAUAGAAUAUGAGCAUCCCCUCUUCUAUCAA